rnacentral:lncRNA from 1 species
GACAUUUUUAAAGACGAGUGAAGAAAAUAAUCAGGAACUGCUACUCUAGGGAAGAGAGGGUUUUUAAAAAACAAAGUAUCUCAGCACACACUGCACAAGUAGUUUUAAAAUAUAUCACACACUUUAGGAAAAUCAGAAAAUGAAGCUGGUGAAUAUUGGGUUAAAUGAAAUAGAGACCAGAGAUGAUAAGAAUAUUAUAAUGGCAUAUUUGAACUUACACUUGAAGAAUCUAAAAGGUGACCCAGAAGUAAGCAAACAGAAUAUAUGUCAGCAAGAUGUGGUCAGCUACUUACGCCUAUAUCAAGUGUAUGAGCUUCUUGACUCUUUGUCUGAGUUCAAGUACAUAAUUCAACUUAAUAAUUCAUGUAUUCUAUUUAACAAUGACUACUGUUGUCUCAAGACAAUAAUAUUGCUCUCCUGUCCAACCAGUAUACCUUUUUCAUAUUAGAGGAAGUUAAGCAAAAUGCUACCAAAUAAAAAAAAG